UCCUGACUGACCGAUAGUGAACCAGUACCGUGAGGGAAAGGCGAAAAGAACCCCGGCGAGGGGAGUGAAAAAGAACCUGAAACCGUGUACGUACAAGCAGUGGGAGCCUCUUUAUGGGGUGACUGCGUACCUUUUGUAUAAUGGGUCAGCGACUUAUAUUCUGUAGCAAGGUUAACCGAAUAGGGGAGCCGAAGGGAAACCGAGUCUUAACUGGGCGUUAAGUUGCAGGGUAUAGACCCGAAACCCGGUGAUCUAGCCAUGGGCAGGUUGAAGGUUGGGUAACACUAACUGGAGGACCGAACCGACUAAUGUUGAAAAAUUAGCGGAUGACUUGUGGCUGGGGGUGAAAGGCCAAUCAAACCGGGAGAUAGCUGGUUCUCCCCGAAAGCUAUUUAGGUAGCGCCUCGUGAAUUCAUCUCCGGGGGUAGAGCACUGUUUCGGCAAGGGGGUCAUCCCGACUUACCAACCCGAUGCAAACUGCGAAUACCGGAGAAUGUUAUCACGGGAGACACACGGCGGGUGCUAACGUCCGUCGUGAAGAGGGAAACAACCCAGACCGCCAGCUAAGGUCCCAAAGUCAUGGUUAAGUGGGAAACGAUGUGGGAAGGCCCAGACAGCCAGGAUGUUGGCUUAGAAGCAGCCAUCAUUUAAAGAAAGCGUAAUAGCUCACUGGUCGAGUCGGCCUGCGCGGAAGAUGUAACGGGGCUAAACCAUGCACCGAAGCUGCGGCAGCGACACUAUGUGUUGUUGGGUAGGGGAGCGU
rnacentral:rRNA from 1 species